rnacentral:lncRNA from 1 species
UAAGCCUAAUCAAUGCCGAACGGCUCUCGGUGUCGCCGCCGCCACCACCGUAGCUCCUCCUCCUCCUCCUCCUCCGCCUCUAUUAACAGUCGUGUUCCUGAAUACUUCAGUAAACGAUGGCCUCGGCGACGACGAAAGAGACUUCGAAACUCUCGGAGACGAGACUGAUUCUCUCUGCGACGGACUUCGCCAGAAUCCGGCGCCGUAAAACCUAUUCCACAUCUCUUUCUCUAAUGCCAACACAGCC